CCAAAGCUCAGGUAGAAGAUAAGAUAGCAAAACAAUUUCUCAAAAAAGGAUUUAUCCUACAGGGAGAAUGAAGAGGAAGAACAGAAAAAAAAACCAAGAUAAAGGCCAGAGCACCGGGGAGUGGCUUUCCAAACCAUCCUGCAGCCAUACCCAUCUCUGGACCAGCAAGAUGGCCACCAUUGCACUGCACCACCAGCAGUGAAAAAUGGAGGCAGCUCUUAGGAGGAGAGCCUCACCUCCAGGUUUGGAUGCAGCUUCCCAGUGAUCCUCUUCCUCCUCCUGACAUCAUCUUCUUCACCGUCUCAUCUUUUAUAUGCAUAAAUUAUAGGAAUAUUUUUUCAUGAUUCCCCAAACACAGGCUGAAUAUCUGCUUGUAUGUUAUUGUAAUAAAUACAUUUUUAUGAAAA